rnacentral:rRNA from 1 species
CCUACGGGAGGCAGCAGUGGGGAAUAUUGCGCAAUGGGCGAAAGCCUGACGCAGCGACGCCGCGUGAGGGAUGAAGGUCUUCGGAUCGUAAACCUCGGUCAGCAGGGAAGAACGGUCACUGUGCUAAUCAGCAGUGAAUUGACGGUACCUGCAAAGGAAGCACCGGCUAACUCCGUGCCAGCAGCCGCGGUAAUACGGAGGGUGCGAGCGUUAAUCGGAAUUACUGGGAGUAAAGCGCUCGUAGGCGGUAUGUCAAGUCAAGGGGGAAAUCCCCGCGCUCAACGUGGGAACUGCCUUUGAAACUGGCGAACUGGAGUGGGUGAGAGGAUAGUGGAAUUCCAGGUGUAGGAGUGAAAUCCGUAGAUAUCGGGAGGAACAUCAGUGGCGAAGGCGACUAUCUGGCACAUAACUGACGCUGAGGAGCGAAAGCGUGGGUAGCAAACAGGAUUAGAUACCCGGGUAGUC